rnacentral:rRNA from 1 species
UAGAGUUCCACGUGUAGCGGUGAAAUGCGUAGAGAUGUGGAGGAAUACCGGUGGCGAAGGCGGCCUUCUGGACAGAUACUGACGCUGAGAUGCGAAAGCGUGGGGAGCAAACAGGAUUAGAUACCCUGGUAGUCCACGCUGUAAACGAUGUCGAUUUGGAGUUUGUUGCCUAGAGUGAUGGGCUCCGAAGCUAACGCGAUAAAUCGACCGCCUGGGGAGUACGGCCGCAAGGUUAAAACUCAAAUGAAUUGACGGGGGCCCGCACAAGCGGUGGAGCAUGUGGUUUAAUUCGAUGCAACGCGAAGAACCUUACCUGGUCUUGACAUCCACAGAAUCUUGCAGAGAUGCGAGAGUGCCUUCGGGAACUGUGAGACAGGUGCUGCAUGGCUGUCGUCAGCUCGUGUUGUGAAAUGUUGGGUUAAGUCCCGCAACGAGCGCAACCCUUAUCCUUUGUUGCCAGCGAUUCGGUCGGGAACUCAAAGGAGACUGCCGUUGAUAAAGCGGAGGAAGGUGGGGACGACGUCAAGUCAUCAUGGCCCUUACGACCAGGGCUACACACGUGCUACAAUGGCGUAUACAAAGGGAGGCGACCUCGCGAGAGCAAGCGGACCUCAUAAAGUACGUCUAAGUCCGGAUUGGAGUCUGCAACUCGACUCCAUGAAGUCGGAAUCGCUAGUAAUCGUGAAUCAGAAUGU